UCCUGUCGUCAGCUCUUCCUUUUUCUACACGCUACGUGACCAGCUGUCUGAAUCCGUCCUCUGAUUUCUGCACAACCACAGUGGAGCCCUCCAGCCUGAUGGCUCCGCAAGGCCUCACCGAUCUGCAUGAUGGAGAAUCCUUGACCGGAAGAGCGGCCUGCCUGGUUGCAGAGAGCGAGGCUUAGGUGGGUGCGAUGCACACUGGGCAUGCGCGAUGAGGGAGCUGCACGGCGCCUCCGAAACCUCAUACGCACGUGACCCGAACUCGGUGUCCCGGGAGGAACGGGCAAGGCCUCCUUUCGGUGUCCGUAGAGGAACACCUGAUACACAACAUGAGCUGAAGUGAUCUGAUUGGCCUGUGCUUACCAUAGCUGGUGAGUGGAGUGGGUGAUGAGCUUAACCUCCUGACUGGUGCCCAGCAUCUGGUUACAGUGCCAAAAUGUGAAUCUUGAGCACUUCAGCUGCUUGCCUUUGGGUUGAUCGAGUUUUAUCAGAAGCUGCCUGCUUGAUCUUUACACGGAGAGGUGGUGUUGAUGUACAAUCUACAUUUAUUCCUGAUGAAUGUUAGCUAUAAAAAAGUUCCUGAGUUUUUCAGGAGAGGCUGACUCAUCACAUUGGGUUUGAAUGUGUAUAUGACUUGUACAUUCAUACUUUGUCUUUUGCUAAAUGGGAGAAGGCAUCAAUAAAAAAAUAGAAAAAUUAAA